AGUGAACGCUGGCGGUAGGCCUAACACAUGCAAGUCGAACGGCAGCACAGUAAGAGCUUGCUCUUACGGGUGGCGAGUGGCGGACGGGUGGGGAAUACAUCGGAAUCUACUUUUUCGUGGGGGAUAACGUAGGGAAACUUACGCUAAUACCGCAUACGACCUACGGGUGAAAGCAGGGGAUCUUCGGACCUUGCGCGAUUGAAUGAGCCGAUGUCGGAUUAGCUAGUUGGCGGGGUAAAGGCCCACCAAGGCGACGAUCCGUAGCUGGUCUGAGAGGAUGAUCAGACACACUGGAACUGAGACACGGUCCAGACUCCUACGGGAGGCAGCAGUGGGGAAUAUUGGACAAUGGGCGCAAGCCUGAUCCAGCCAUACCGCGUGGGUGAAGAAGGCCUUCGGGUUGUAAAGCCCUUUUGUUGGGAAAGAAAAGCAGCAGGUUAAUACCCCGCUGUUCUGACGGUACCCAAAGAAUAAGCGCCGGCUAACUUCGUG
rnacentral:rRNA from 1 species